UACGGAGGGGGCAAGCGUUAUUCGGAAUUAUUGGGCGUAAAGGGCGCGUAGGCGGCUUGACAAGUCAAAGGUGAAAUCCCUCGGCUCAACUGAGGAACUGCCUUUGAAACUGUCUGGCUUGAGGCCGGGAGGGGGUAGCGGAAUUCCCAGUGUAGCGGUGAAAUGCGCAGAUAUUGGGAGGAACACCAGUGGCGAAGGCGGCUACCUGGACCGGUUCUGACGCUGAUGCGCGAAAGCGUGGGUAGCAAACAGG
rnacentral:rRNA from 1 species